rnacentral:rRNA from 1 species
UACAGAGGGUGCGAGCGUUAAUCGGAAUUACUGGGCGUAAAGCGUGUGUAGACGGUUAUUUAAGUCGGGUGUGAAAGCCCCGGGCUCAACCUGGGAAUUGCAUUCGAGACUGAAUAGCUAGGGUACGGUAGAGGGAAGUGGAAUUUCCGGUGUAGCGGUGAAAUGCGUAGAUAUCGGAAGGAACAUCAGUGGCGAAAGCGACUUCCUGGACCAGUACCGACGUUCAGGCACGAAAGCGUGGGGAGCAAACAGG